rnacentral:rRNA from 1 species
GUGCAGCAGGCGAGAAUUUUUCUCAAUGGGGGAAACCCUGAAGGAGCGACGCCGCGUGAAGGAUGAAGGUCUUCGGAUUGUAAACUUCUGUCAUUAGGGAACAAAUCUUCCAAGUAACUACUGGAAGUCUGAUAGUACCUGAAGAGGAAGAGACGGCUAACUCUGUGCCAGCAGCCGCGGUAAUACAGAGGUCUCAACCGUUGUUCGGAUUCAUUGGGCGUAAAGGGUGCGUAGGCGGCGGAGUAAGUCAGGUGUGAAAUCUCGGGGCUCAACCCCGAAACUGCACUUGAUACUGCUUCGCUUGAGUACUGGAGAGGAGACUGGGAAUUUACGGUGUAGCAGUGAAAUGCGUAGAUAUCGUAAGGAAGACCAGUGGCGAAGGCGAGUCUCUGGACAGUUACUGACGCUGAGGCACGAAGGCCAGGGGAGCAAACGGGAUUAGAUACCCCGGUAGU